UCUCCGUAGGUGAACCUGCGGAGGGAUCAUUACAGAGUUCAUGCCCUACCGGGUAGAUCUCCCACCCUAUGUUAUUAUUACUUUGUUGCUUUGGCGGGCCGUUAGGCUCCGGCCCGACUACCGGCCCCGGCUGGUAAGCGCCCGCCAGAGGACCCAAAACCCUGAAUAUUAGUGUCGUAUGAGUACUAUAUAAUAGUUAAAACUUUCAACAACGGAUCUCUUGGUUCUG
rnacentral:misc_RNA from 1 species